rnacentral:rRNA from 1 species
AUUGAACGCUGGCGGCAGGCCUAACACAUGCAAGUCGAGCGGAUGAAGGGAGCUUGCUCCUGGAUUCAGCGGCGGACGGGUGAGUAAUGCCUAGGAAUCUGCCUGGUAGUGGGGGAUAACGUCCGGAAACGGGCGCUAAUACCGCAUACGUCCUGAGGGAGAAAGUGGGGGAUCUUCGGACAACACGCUAUUAGAUGAGCCUAGGUCGGAUUAGCGAGUUGGUGGGGUAAAGGCCUACCAAGGCGACGAUCCGUAACUGGUCUGAGAGGAUGAUCAGUCACACUGGAACUGAGACACGGUCCAGACUCCUACGGGAGGCAGCAGUGGGGAAUAUUGGACAAUGGGCGAAAGCCUGAUCCAGCCAUGCCGCGUGUGUGAAGAAGGUCUUCGGAUUGUAAAGCACUUUAAGUUGGGAGGAAGGGCAGUAAGUUAAUACCUUGCUGUUUUGACGUUACCAACAGAAUAAGCACCGGCUAACUUCGUG